rnacentral:sRNA from 1 species
AUGCCAAAUAUGCAGACAGACGGGACAUUCGGCAAAAGAAUGCGGUCAACUUCAGAAGGGAAACUCUUUCCUCCUGGGGGCCACACAGCACGCUCCCCUAGGAGACCGUCCAUAAGUGCUUCAAGAAUUCGGAGUAGAUCUAGAUCUCGUGUAAAUAAAUGUAUGAAUGUAAAUAAAGAUUUUUGUGUUGAGAAUAUGACAUUGUAUACUGGUGAAAAUGAUGUAAUUACGUCAUCCGAAAAUGAUUCUGGUACUGAUUCCUUCAUUUCUUCGGACUCUAAAUUUUUAUAUUUAACUGUUCGUUUUGAUUCUUUGAAAGUUUCUGCAUUGGUUGAUACAGGAAGUUCAGUGAACAUUAUUUCAGAACAACUUUAUGAUUCGUUGCCGUAUAGUAAGAAGUCAGAUUUUAAUGCAGAUGUUCGUGAGUCCAUUGUUUUAGCUAACAGUCAAAAGAUUGAAGUUGUUGGUACGGCUUACGUACAAAUGAAUAUUUCAAGAGCCAAUCAUCGUGUUUUUACUUAUAUUUUGAAAAUGUCAUCACAUCCUAUUAUUUUGGGAACAAACUAUUUAAUUGCGAAUAAAAUGGUGAUUGAUUUUAGUGAAAUGUCCGCUGUUCCAAAAACAUCAAAUGUAUAUUGUACAAAAAGGACAACGAUUUUACCACAUACAGAGACAAUUAUAUGGGGAAAAGUUCCGUCAAAUAUUUAUUAUGGAAAACAAGGAAUUUGUACGUCUAGUAAAUAUAUUGUAUCUAGAGGAUUGGUUAUUUCUAAAGGAGUCGUUUCUGUGUCAAAAGGUAGACUUAUUCCAAUUAAAAUAUUAAAUCCAAACAGUUGUAGUAUUGACUUGUAUAAAGGAAAAACAUUAGCUAUGUUUGACGAAAUUACAUCUGAACACUCGCUUCUUCCGUUCAACGAUACUACAGAUCAUUGCGUUCAAAACGUGAAUUUGAUAAACGAUACAAAUAGUGUAAACAGUAAAAGUGACCCGGUUAAGCUUGAUUCUACUGUACAAUCUGAGAACAACAACACGUUUAACAGUGAAAUCACGGAUUUUAUUGCGAAUUUUCUGUUUGAAAAAUCUAAUUUGGACAAAGUUCAGCGUAACGAUUUACACAAGUUUUUGUACAAGCAAUAAAGACAUUUUUGUGACAAAGUCAGAUCCUGCUUUAGGAUUCACGGAUUUAGUUAAACAUAAAAUACUGUUGAAACCUGAUGCCAAACCGAAGUAUCAGAAACCUUAUCGUUUGUCGCCCGAUAAAAAGGACGUUUUAAGGCAUCAUUUGGACAAUUUGCUUGAGCAAGGAAUUAUUUCUCCUGUAUUUCCAGAUGAAGACCUACCGAUAACAAGUCCGAUUGUGCUAGUUACUAAGCGUGUACAUGGAACAAAACAAGGACCUCCAUAUGACAAAGACUCCAGUCUUUCGCAAUUUCGUUUUUGCUGCGACUUCAGAUAUCUAAAUUCUCAGUGUAAAAUUUUCUCAUAUAAUAUACCGGAUUUACAAGACUUAACAGAAUCUUUUUCACAAAGAAAACCAAAUUUCAUAACAUCCAUUGACAUGAGUUCCGGAUUUUUCCAAAUGAAAAUAGACCCUUCAAGUUCGAAAUAUACGGCUUUCAAUACAUGUUUUGGGACAUACAAAUUCAAUCGAUUACCCAUGGGACUUAGCUCAGCACCGAACUCGUUUCAACUUUUAAUGGACAAAGUUUUGUCCGGACUAACUUUCAGGUCAUGUCUUUGCUAUUUGGACGAUGUGUUAAUCUGUUCAGAGACAUUUCAAGAACAUAUUAAUGACUUGACCGAUGUAUUCAAUCGUUUUAGAAGUGCUGGUCUUAAACUGAACCCGAAAAAGUGUCAAUUUGCAGAACAGUCAUGUAUAUUUCUUGGACACCAUAUUUCGUCAAAAGGAAUAAAACCGCCCCCAGAUCGUGUUCAAGCUUUACAAACAUAUCCGUCACCUCGAAAUUUAAAAGAACUCCGCAGAGCUUUAGGUUUAUUUGGAUGGUUCCGAAAGUUUAUACCGAACUAUAGUGAAAUAACUCAAUCAUUGACAAAAUUAUUGCGAAAAGGUGCCUUAUUUCAAUGGAACAAAGAACAAGAAACGGCAUUAAAUGCACUUAAAACACGUUUACUCAACUCGGAAAUCUUAGCCUUUCCUCAAUUUAACCUUCCGUUUUAUUUGGCCGUUGAUUCAUCUUCAAAAGGGAUAGGAUAUAUGUUGUACCAAAAACAUCCUGAUGAAAAUAAAAACAUUGAAAAAGUUAGAGUAGUCCGUUUUGGUUCGAAAGCUUUAAAUCAUUGGCAAAGGUCAUACGGUCCAACUAAACUCGAGCUAUUAGGAGUCGUUACAAGCGUUACUGAUUGUUCAAGUUACCUAAGAGGCAAUGAAUUCAUCGUUGAGUGUGACCACAAGGCAUUGCGACCGCUAAUUGAAAAACAACUGAAAGGAGCGAUAUAUGAUCGUUGGCUUGCAAUAUUACAACAGUACAAUUUCGAAAUUCGUUACAAACCAGCCGCGCAAAUGCAAGUACCGGAUGCAUUAUCUCGUUGUAUUGGAAGUGAUGUGUCCGGUGAGAAUUCAAGUCCGGCGGAAGAUGACCUCUUUUUUCCCGUAUGUUCAGGAAACGACAGGACAAAUUAGUAUUUCGAAUCCCGUUGAGAACAAUACACAAACUUUAAACUUUAUCGACUUUGAAACAGAAGAAACCGAUCAUGACGCAGGAUAUACAGCCGAUACCGAAGAUGAAUAUAUUUCUCCAAAAUUUAGCGAAAAUCAUUGCGUUAGUACAGUAUUUACAUUGCCUAAAUAUAGACCGAUUGAGCAGACCGAGGACAAAGUGAAUCAUAUUGAAUCUUUCGGUUCUCCGUGUGAAGAUACAACUGCGCUUUUGAAACCGACGUUGCAACAAAAAUGUAAACAUUCCGCCGAUGCUCAGGACGUAGCAAAGGUGGAAACUGAAUGUAUUACUGAAGAUCAAUGUUUUGCACUUAACAACAUAGACAAUAUUAGUAUGUUAAAACCGUUGGAAGCCAUAGAUAGUCCUUAUUUGAUAAAUGAGAGUGCUCAUGAUAAACAAGGCAAUGUUUUGCAUGAGUUUGACCCUUUGAAAGUUAAGACACAAGAUGAACCAUUAAACGACGAAAUAGAUUGCAGUUCCGCGUUGAACUUGCACGAGCGUGAAUGGUUGAAAUUCACAAAUGCUUCUAAUUUAAAUGACAUUUCUGUAAAUGCAGUGCAGAAAAUUUUAUUAGGUGAAAAAAGUGACAAUGAACUUACAAAUGAAAGUCAAAAGAAUAAUGAUAUAUCGACAGAGGACGAUACAUCGAUUGAAAAUAAACCUGUUCCGAUAGUUUCAAGUGACGAGGAACUUGUAAAACGAAGUAUAGAACUAUUUAAGCGAAGCGAUUUUAGUCCAGAUAGUGUGAAAGAAUUGCAACAAAAUGAUGUUAAUUUACGACAAAUUAUUAACUAUCUUGAAAAUGGAAUUUUGCCACAUUUACAACGAGAUGCACGACGGCUUAUACUACGUUCUGCAGAUUAUUUACUGAUGAAUAAUUUGCUUUUUCACAACCGAAAUGCUAAGUGCAAACGAACUAGAGACCACAAGCCAAAAUAUCAGUUAGCUUUACCGAAAAUACUCAUAAGACCAAUUAUGGAAAUUUUUCACGAUUCGCCUAUGGGAGGCCAUGGAGGCAUACAAAACACUAUAGAUUUAAUAAGUGAGCAUUUUUAUUUCGACAAAUUGCCAUCUCUUGUAACCGAAUAUGUCAAAUCCUGUCAUGACUGUCAAUCUAGAAAAAUGACAAAAGCUCAUACUAAAACUGGAAUUAUAUCGUACCGUACACCUUCUGGACCAUUUCAAAUAUGGCAAGUUGACCUCUAUGGACCUUUACCGACAUCACAAAGAUCGUAUACACACAUUUUAUCAGCUAUAGAUAUGUUCAGUAAAUUUGUAUAUAAUGUGCCUAUUCCAAACUGUGACGCAAUGACAGUUUCAUAUGCUCUUUUUGAUAUGUUUUGUCAAUUUGGUGUUUGUGAUACAAUUAUAUCUGACAAUGGAAGUGAGUUCAUUUCAAACUGUACUAAGGAAGUUUGUAAAUUGCUUGAAAUUCGUCAAAAUUUUACGCCCAGUAUGAUACAUCAUUGUUUAGGAGCAUGCGAGAGAACUCAUCGAACGUUAGCCGAGAGACUAACUCCAUACAUUCAAAAGGGAACGCAAUGGGACAGUGUACUACCUGCCGUUACGUUUUCUAUGAACGCUUCGAUAAAUUCCUCUACAAAAUAUUCGCCUUAUGAGAUUAUAUACGGAACAAGACCUAAAUUUCCGCUUUGUUUGUCACAUCAAACCGAUUUCUCAACUUUACCUGACGAUUAUCGUGACUAUGUAGAAAAACAGGCCAAAAAGUUAGAUAUAAUUAGAGAAGAAAUUCGUACAAAUGCACAACGAUCAGGAGAACUUAUGAUGGAUCGAUAUAACAAAAAGACUAAUCCGUUGUAUUUAUCUGUUGGAGACUAUGUAUAUAUGCUUAAAGAACCGAGUGGCCCAGGACGAAAGUUUCAACCAAAAUACAGUGGACCCUUUAUCGUAAACGCUAUAAAAUCACCUCACAUUGUGAAUCUUAAAGAACCAUCUUCCGGCAAAAUUCUUAAAUAUGACACACAUUUGGAUAGACUAAAAAUUGCAUAUGUUCGUGCACCCGAACCGUCAGACUAUUUUUUAUCAAAAGUUCAUACAGCCGAAAUUAACCGUGAAUCAGAUGAUCCUACUACAGACAGUGAUUCAGAACAUACAGAAGCUAUCCCACCGUUACCACAGACUCAACCGGUUGUCAGACGUUCAACACGAACUAGAAAACGUCCUAUUCGUUUUCAACUUUCCACUUUAGAUACAAACUCGUCCGAUGAAUUUACGACCCAAUCAGACACUUAUUAUAAAGUUAAGAGAAUUUUGUCUCAACGUAAAAUAAAUGGAAAAACUGAAUACCGUGUGCAAUUUAAAGGUGAACCGGCACAAAAUGCGUUGUGGAUUCCAUUUGAACAGCUAAAUGAACAUACAAAGAAGAUGGUACAGUCCAAACCACCGCCAUGUGCUAACUAAUUGUGUAUUUUUUUUAUGAACAUUAAUAAAUUAUGUUUUAUGGCAUUUAAAACCAUGUUAAUUUUUGACAAGAACUAUUUCAAGGACUAAAUUCUUUAAAAGAACAAUGUGUUUAAUUUUAAUUUCGUUUAACAGUAAUAAAUAUGUGUAUAAAUUGAUAGUGAAAUUUUUGUGAGAAAAG